UGAACUUUUGAGGAUCAUAUUCUAGUGCUCCCUGGCUUUUUAAGAGACCCCAUGGAGUGACCCAUUUUCAUACAAAGCUUUCCUCAUCGCAAAUAGAAUGAAUAAUAAUCUCUUGGUCUUCAUCUUUCAUGUUCAUGAGGUUCUGUCACCAUAACCAGAUCUCCAAAGCUAGAGUUCUUACACCCAUGGCCUCUCUUCCAAGAUCUGGAAAUGGUGGGUGGAGAGAAACAGCACUGGAACUCUUUUUAAGUAUGAAAACACAUGAUAAUGUCCGCUGCAUAGUUUCAGUGAAGGUGGUAACAGAUCUGCGUAGUGGGUUGUUACUUACAAACUGGCGCUAUCCCCUCUGAGCUUUGUUAUAAGUGUGGUAUGAGCUGUUUUCUUCCACAUUUUCCUCUUCCAUCGCAUCCAUUAUUGCAAUUUCCUCCUUUAUCCAUAUUUCUAUUCUUCCUCUUGCCAUGCUCGCCAUCUAUGUUCAUAUUCCAUUGCAUCCGUCUUUCUUCCUAGAGAUUCAUGACAUCCAUGAAUCACACCCUCCUCACUUUAGAUUCCUACACAGGUAUCCCUCCUGAGCUUCUACUCAGUCACUCCGAUUUGUUUUAAACAAAAUAAAACUUGUUGGCAUAAAUCAAAGAAUGCUUGGCAAAUGUCAAGACAUUUAGAUGAUGCCAUUGCCAUAUUUUAUUACUCUGCUGUAUUAAAGAUUUUUUUUUUUAAGAAAUUCUGUAUUAAAAGAUAUUUUAUGAUCA